UAUAUAAAAAAUUUGGAAGUUAGCGC
rnacentral:sRNA from 1 species